rnacentral:lncRNA from 1 species
AUUCUUGCCCUGCUCUCCCGGCCUGGCACCCUCCCACUGAGGACGGGAGAUGGCUCUGGGGAAAUUCCAUUCCAUAAUUCAUUUAAGCAGGAUAAACAGAGCUCCUGCUCUGGAAGAUCCAGCCCUGAGCAAAAGGCACUUGGAAUCGACAUGGGGGGCUCGAAUGUCCCUGUGAAACAUAAACAUAAGGAGGCAGGAGACAUGAGAUGCAGCCGGCUCUGACCCCAAAGAGCCAUGGGACCUGAGCAUC